UUUUUUUUCUCUUCUUCUU
rnacentral:sRNA from 1 species